rnacentral:rRNA from 1 species
UGGGGGAUAUUGCACAAUGGGCGAAAGCCUGAUGCAGCGACGCCGCGUGGGGGAUGAAGGCCUUCGGGUUGUAAACUUCUUUUGCUCUGAACAAGGCAUGCUAAUGGGUGUGUUGAGUGUAGGGGUUGAUUAGCGCCGGCUAACUACGUGCCAGCAGCCGCGGUAAUCCGUAGGGCGCGAGCGUUGUCCGGAAUUAUUGGGCGUAAAGGGCUUGUAGGUGGCUGGUUGCGUCUGUCGUGAAAGCUCAUGGCUUAACUGUGGGUUUGCGGUGGGUACGGGCUGGCUUGAGCGCAGUAGGGGAGGCUGGAAUUCCUGGUGUAGCGGUGGAAUGCGCAGAUAUCAGGAGGAAUACCGGUGGCGAAGGCGGGUCUCUGGGCUGUUACUGACACUGAGGAGCGAAAGCAUGGGGAGCGAACAGG